rnacentral:rRNA from 1 species
GAUGAACGCUAGCGGCAGGCCUAACACAUGCAAGUCGAGGGGCAGCACAGAAACAGCAAUGUUUUGGUGGCGACCGGCGGACGGGUGCGUAACGCGUAUGCAACCUACCUUUAACAGGGGGAUAACGGAGAGAAAUUUCCACUAAUACCCCAUAACAUCGAUCAAGGCAUCUUGAUUGGUUGAAAACUCCGGUGGUUAAAGAUGGGCAUGCGUUGUAUUAGGUAGUUGGUGAGGUAAUGGCUCACCAAGCCUACGAUACAUAGGGGGACUGAGAGGUUAGCCCCCCACACUGGUACGGGGACACGUACCAGACUCCUACGGGAGGCAGCAGUGAGGAAUAUUGGUCAAUGGGGGCAACCCUGAACCAGCCAUGCCGCGUGCAGGAAGACGGCUCUAUGAGUUGUAAACUGCUUUUAAACAGGGAUAAAGCACAGUAUGUAUACUGUGUUGAAGGUACUGUAAGAAUAAGGAUCGGCUAACUCCGUGCCAGCCGCCGCGGUAA